rnacentral:rRNA from 1 species
CCUACGGGUGGCAGCAGUGAGGAAUAUUGGUCAAUGGGCGCAAGCCUGAACCAGCCAAGUCGCGUGAGGGAAGACGGCCCUACGGGUUGUAAACCUCUUUUGCCGGGGAGCAAGCCUGAGCACGUGUGCCCAGGCGGAGAGUACCCGGAGAAAAAGCAUCGGCUAACUCCGUGCCAGCCGCCGCGGUAAUACGGAGGAUGCGAGCGUUAUCCGGAUUUAUGGGGGGUAAAGGGAGCGUAGACGGUUAUGUAAGUCUGGAGUGAAAGCCCGGGGCCCAACCCCGGGACUGCUUUGGAAACUGUGUAACUGGAGUACAGGAGGGGCAGGCGGAAUUCCUGGUGUAGCGGUGAAAUGCGUAGAUAUCAGGAGGAACACCGGCGGCGAAGGCGGCCUGCUGGACUGAAACUGACGUUGAGGCUCGAAAGCGUGGGGAGCAAACAGGAUUAGAUACCCUGGUAGUC